rnacentral:lncRNA from 1 species
UUUAGUGAAAUGUUAAAUAGCUAGAUGUAAUUUACACAUAUUUCAAAAGAAUAUGAGUUGGACUGCUAUACUAUCGAUAGUACGGAGACUUUCGUAUACCAAACUAUUUUCAAUGAUGCGACUUUCAAAUCGAUGAUCGACGCUGUUAGACUUAAUCUACACUAUUGAAAGUAUCUGAAAACUAAAUUUUAUAAUUUUUCGACAUUAUUUGGCUAGUGAUCAAAAUAUCUCAAAAUUAACAAUUUUAAUAGUCGAUGUGAUAUAUUUGUGAAUUUAACGAUAUAAAAAAAUUCAAAUCUGAUAAGAUUUUUAUAGAAAACUCUUUUCACUAUUUAGAAUCAAAUCAGUAUCUUUGAUCUUAAAUUUUAAUUUUUUAUCAUCAUGCUUUCGAUAGUAUAGCAGCCGGUCUCAAAGUAUACUACAUUACAAAAUCCAA